rnacentral:rRNA from 1 species
UCGAACGAUGAACCACUUCGGUGGGGAUUAGUGGCGAACGGGUGAGUAACACGUGGGCAAUCUGCCCUUCACUCUGGGACAAGCCCUGGAAACGGGGUCUAAUACCGGAUAACACUCCCGCACUCAUGUGCGGGGGUUAAAAGCUCCGGCGGUGAAGGAUGAGCCCGCGGCCUAUCAGCUUGUUGGUGAGGUAAUGGCUCACCAAGGCGACGACGGGUAGCCGGCCUGAGAGGGCGACCGGCCACACUGGGACUGAGACACGGCCCAGACUCCUACGGGAGGCAGCAGUGGGGAAUAUUGCACAAUGGGCGAAAGCCUGAUGCAGCGACGCCGCGUGAGGGAUGACGGCCUUCGGGUUGUAAACCUCUUUCAGCAGGGAAGAAGCGAAAGUGACGGUACCUGCAGAAGAAGCGCCGGCUAACU